rnacentral:rRNA from 1 species
GGUGUUGCAUGGCUGUCGUCAGCUCGUGUCGUGAGAUGUUGGGUUAAGUCCCGCAACGAGCGCAACCCUCAUCCUUAGUUACCAUCAGGUAAUGCUGGGACUUUAAGGAAACUGCCAGUGAUAAACUGGAGGAAGGUGGGGAUGAUGUCAAGUCAUCAUGGCCCUUAUGGAGUGGGCUACACACGUGCUACAAUGGUGGCUACAAUGGGCUGCAAAGUCGCGAGGCUAAGCUAAUCCCUUAAAAGCCAUCUCAGUUCGGAUUGCACUCUGCAACUCGAGUGCAUGAAGUUGGAAUCGCUAGUAAUCGUGGAUCAGCACGCCACGGUGAAUACGUUCCCGGGUCUUGUACACAC